rnacentral:rRNA from 1 species
UGCAGUCGAACGAGAAAGUCACUUCGGUGGCGAUUAAAGUGGCGCACGGGUGAGUAACGCGUAGACAAUCUGCCCUUCGGUCUGGGACAACUUUUCGAAAGGAGAGCUAAUACCGGAUAACAAUGCAUGACACAAGUCAUAUAUUUGAAAGCUUUAUGUGCUGAAGGAGGGGUCUGCGUCCCAUUAGCUAGUUGGUAAGGUAACGGCUUACCAAGGCGACGAUCUCUAGCUGUUCUGAGAGGAAGAUCAGCCACACUGGGACUGAGACACGGCCCAGACUCCUACGGGAGGCAGCAGUGGGGAAUAUUGCACAAUGGGGGAAACCCUGAUGCAGCCAUGCCGCGUGUGUGAAGAAGGCCUUCGGGUUGUAAAGCACUUUCAGUUGUGAGGAAAAGUUAGUAGUUAAUACCUGCUAGCCGUGACGUUAACAACAGAAGAAGCACCGGCUAACUCCGUGCCAGCAGCCGCGGUAAUACGGAGGGUGCGAGCGUUAAUCGGAAUUACUGGGCGUAAAGCGCACGCAGGCGGUUUGUUAAGCUAGAUGUGAAAGCCCCGGGCUCAACCUGGGAUGGUCAUUUAGAACUGGCAGACUAGAGUCUUGGAGAGGGGAGUGGAAUUCCAGGUGUAGCGGUGAAAUGCGUAGAUAUCUGGAGGAACAUCAGUGGCGAAGGCGACUCCCUGGCCAAAGACUGACGCCCAUGUGCGAAAGUGUGGGUAGCGAACAGGAUUA